rnacentral:rRNA from 1 species
GAUGAACGCUGGCGGCGUGCCUAAUACAUGCAAGUCGAGCGAACAGAUAAGGAGCUUGCUCCUUUGACGUUAGCGGCGGACGGGUGAGUAACACGUGGGUAACCUACCUAUAAGACUGGAAUAACUCCGGGAAACCGGGGCUAAUGCCGGAUAACAUUUAGAGCCGCAUGGUUCUAAAGUGAAAGAUGGUUUUGCUAUCACUUAUAGAUGGACCCGUGCCGUAUUAGCUAGUUGGUAAGGUAACGGCUUACCAAGGCAACGAUACGUAGCCGACCUGAGAGGGUGAUCGGCCACACUGGAACUGAGACACGGUCCAGACUCCUACGGGAGGCAGCAGUAGGGAAUCUUCCGCAAUGGGCGAAAGCCUGACGGAGCAACGCCGCGUGAGUGAUGAAGGUCUUCGGAUCGUAAAACUCUGUUAUUAGGGAAGAACAAAUGUGUAAGUAACUGUGCACGUCUUGACGGUACCUAAUCAGAAAGCCACGGCUAACUACGUG